rnacentral:rRNA from 1 species
CACGGGGGGAGCAAGCGUUGUUCGGAAUCACUGGGCGUAAAGGGCGUGUAGGCGGUUCGGUAAGUGAGAUGUGAAAUCCUCCGGCUCACCCGGAGACCUGCAUCUCAAACUGCCGGACUAGAGUAUGGGAGAGGACAAGGGAAUUCCUGGUGUAGCGGUGAAAUGCGUAGAUAUCAGGAGGAACACCAAUGGCGAAGGCAGCUCGCUGGAACGGUACUGACGCUGAGGCGCGAAAGCGUGGGGAGCGAACAGG